CAGUUGUGAAUGUCACAAAUGCUCCCCUAACGAGGAUCAAAUCAAUGAAAGGAUGGCCUUGAUAAAUAAUAUUCAUGAGGCGAAGAGGAAGUACCCAUACAUGAUGAGCUUUGAGAGGUGACUUUGCAAGACUGACUAAGAUUGACCCAUCACCUUGUAUUGCAAAAGGGAUCAACAAAAUUGUGAAAAUGGCAGAAAUGAAACACAUCCCUUGCGAAGCAAGUGUAAUGGCAUCACUUCAAAAGGCUCGUGAGAUGUCACCGGAGAGGCUGCGAACACGACGACCCGAGCGUUCCUGCAACCUCUUGCAUCAUAUUUUCUGGAGAAGACGUUGAAGAGGCUGACCUCCACAUCAAGGUGGACCGCGAGAUGUUUGCAGUGAAAAAUGGGGAGGAGGGGCUGGUGGCUGUUUUAUCUGCUUACUGGCUCUUCAAUAUCCAGUACGACCGCAAGCUGUCCAACACUCUUCUCGUGUUGGAGCGCCUUUUCCUUGGGCUCACAUUGAGUACCCCUAGAGUAGUGGCUACAAAGUUCUUGAACAAUGUUGCCAAAUGUGUGCCAUGUUUAAUGUGCUGAAGCUGUGCACUGUUACCUCAUCAUGAGUUUAGCUGUAAUUUUCAGAUGCAAGUUUUGUUUUGUCUAACCAUUUCUGCAAUACAUAUGAAGGAAGCCAACAGUCACCGAUAACAAGGCAAGCUUAUGGCAACGCUAUUCGUUUUUUUUAUUUGCAGUGUUAGUAGUUGGAAAUUAUUAGCUUAAUUAUUUUCAGAUGUGGUUAGUUAGGAUCCCACUGGCAGCAUGUGGUUUUCUGCUUUCUGAUCAUUUACCUGUCAGCCAUAAAAUGAUUACACUAACAAUUUUCUAUUGUCAGCACCACAAA
rnacentral:lncRNA from 1 species